UACAGAGGUCCCGAGCGUUGUUCGGAUUCACUGGGCGUAAAGGGUGCGUCGGCGGUUGUUUAAGUUUGGUGUGAAAUCUCCCGGCUCAACUGGGAGGGUGCGCCGAAUACUGAAUGACUAGAGUGCGGGAGAGGAGAGUGGAAUUCCUGGUGUAGCGGUGAAAUGCGUAGAUAUCAGGAGGAACACCGGUGGUGUAGACGGCUCUCUGGACCGUAACUGACGCUGAGGCACGAAAGCGUGGGUAGCAAACAGG
rnacentral:rRNA from 1 species